rnacentral:rRNA from 1 species
CCGGCUAAAAGUCGGAGGAAGUGGGGAUGACGUCAAAUCAUCAUGCCCCUUAUGACCUGGGCUACACACGUGCUACAAUGGGCGGUACAAAGGGUCGCGAACCCGCGAGGGGGAGCCAAUCCCAAAAAGCCGCUCUCAGUUCGGAUUGCAGGCUGCAACUCGCCUGCAUGAAGCCGGAAUCGCUAGUAAUCGCGGAUCAGCAUGCCGCGGUGAAUACGUUCCCGGGCCUU